rnacentral:rRNA from 1 species
UACGGAGGGGGCUAGCGUUGUUCGGAAUUACUGGGCGUAAAGCGCGCGUAGGCGGACCUGCAAGUCGGGGGUGAAAGCCCGAGGCUUAACCUCGGAACUGCCUUCGAUACUGCGGGUCUCGAGUCCGGGAGAGGUGAGUGGAAUUCCUAGUGUAGAGGUGAAAUUCGUAGAUAUUAGGAAGAACACCAGUGGCGAAGGCGGCUCACGGGCCCGGUACUGACGAUGAGGCGCGAAAGCGUGGGGAGCAAACAGG